ACUGUAGAUAGUAUAUUCCUUUAGAUGCUUACUUAACAUGGAAAACUUUAAACUUCUGCCGGCGUUACUUCAUACGAAACAUAGAUCAAUAGAAUAUGUUCAACUGGUCGCUUUCCCAACUUGUUUAAUAUUAAUUACAUAAAUUGUACGAGUUUAAUAUAGGGCGUAUUACUCCAUUAUAUUAGGAGUACAGACCCGAGCAAAUUCGCGUGAGAAAUAAACGAGAAAAAUUAAACACGGCAGAAUAAUUGUUCUUAGAUACGUAUAUACAAAUUUUAUUCGAGUAUACUUUUUUCGUCAACCAUUUAAUCGAACCGACC